rnacentral:rRNA from 1 species
AUUGAACGCUGGCGGCAUGCCUAACACAUGCAAGUCGAACGGCAGCACGGUCUGGUUUACCAGAUGGGUGGCGAGUGGCGAACGGGUGAGUAAAGCGUAGGAAUAUACCUUAAAGAGGGGGAUAACCUGGGGAAACCCAGGCUAAUACCGCGUAAACUCUGCGGAGCAAAGCUGGGGACCGAAAGGCCUGGCGCUUUAAGAAUAGCCUGCGUCCGAUUAGCUAGUUGGUGGGGUAAAGGCUCACCAAGGCGACGAUCGGUAGCUGGUCUGAGAGGACGAACAGCCACACUGGGACUGAGACACGGCCCAGACUCCUACGGGAGGCAGCAGUGGGGAAUAUGCGCAAUGGGGGAAACCCUGACGCAGCUAUGCCGCGUGGGUGAUG